AAAGUAGUUCUGAUAGUCAUUCUUUCUGCUCCACGCAAGAGGACCAAGGGUGUCUUAUAUUUAUGCUUUUACUGCCAAGUGGAGCUUUGGUCCCUGAGAACCACUCACCAGGAGAUGCCCAUCAAUGUAAACAUCGAGCUGACUUAAAUAUUCUCCUGCUUUAAGCUGCUUACCUUCAAAAUCUACUUCUGGAACUGUGCUCUGUCACCAGAUAACUUAAGACUUCACUUUGCACCUUAUUGGCCAGAAGUGUGUUACGUGACAAUUCUUCAACCAAGAAGGGGAACGGAUUAGCUUGACAGGCUGCAGACUACCCUUCGAACUGAGCAUGAAGUCAUCUUCCUCCAAGUCAUGUGUGAGGACGUGAAGGAAGUGAGAUAUCUGAACACAAAGGAAGGAAGAAGGGAGAAUGAGCAUUGGAUAGACAAUCAGUUGAGCACUUGGAGCUGCUUUGUGCGAGCUUGUGAGAGUCAACUGUUAGACUCAGGAAUUUUGAAUGCUGGCAGUUAAACACAGCCAUUAUCAAAAAUUAAGUUAUAUAAUCUUACAGUUAAAAUAUGUUAAAGCAAAAGUAAUAAAUACUCAAAAGUGAUCAAUCUCUAAUUAUUUUUACUACAUCAUUCUAUUAUCUAUGCUUUUGAUGUUUUGUAUCUGUGUGGG
rnacentral:lncRNA from 1 species